rnacentral:rRNA from 1 species
CACGUAGUUAGCCGUCCCUUUCUGGUUAGAUACCGUCACACGAGGAGCUUUCCACUCUCCUCGUCGUUCUUCUCUAACAACAGAGUUUUACGAUCCGAAAACCUUCUUCACUCACGCGGCGUUGCUCGGUCAGACUUUCGUCCAUUGCCGAAGAUUCCCUACUGCUGCCUCCCGUAGGAGUUUAGGGCCGUGUCUCAGUCCCAAUGUGGCCGAUCACCCUCUCAGGUCGGCUAUGUAUCAUCGCCUUGGUGAGCCUUUACCUCACCAACUAGCUAAUACAACGCGGGAUCAUCUUUGAGUGAUGCAAUUGCAUCUUUCAAACUUAAAACUUAUGUUUAAAGCUAUUAUGCGGUAUUAGCUAUUCGUUUCCAAAUGUUCGUCCCCCGCUCAAAGGCAGACUUCCCCACGUCCGUUACUCCACCCGUUUCGCUGCUCAUCCAAUCGGUAACAAGUACCAAUCUUCAGCGCUCAACUUGCUAUGGUAUUGGCACGCCGCCAGCGUUCU